rnacentral:rRNA from 1 species
AUUGAACGCUGGCGGCAUGCCUUACACAUGCAAGUCGAACGGUAACAGGUCUUCGGAUGCUGACGAGUGGCGAACGGGUGAGUAAUACAUCGGAACGUGCCUAGUAGUGGGGGAUAACUACUCGAAAGAGUGGCUAAUACCGCAUGAGAUCUACGGAUGAAAGCAGGGGAUCGCAAGGCCUUGUGCUACUAGAGCGGCCGAUGGCAGAUUAGGUAGUUGGUGGGAUAAAAGCUUACCAAGCCGACGAUCUGUAGCUGGUCUGAGAGGACGAUCAGCCACACUGGGACUGAGACACGGCCCAGACUCCUACGGGAGGCAGCAGUGGGAAUUUUGGACAAUGGGCGCAAGCCUGAUCCAGCAAUGCCGCGUGCAGGAUGAAGGCCUUCGGGUUGUAAACUGCUUUUGUACGGAACGAAAAGCCCUGGGUUAAUACCCUGGGGUCAUGACGGUACCGCAAGAAUAAGCACCGGCUAACUACGUGCCAGCAGCCGCGGUAAAAC